AGUCUUCCUCUGUGCUGCGCAGACAGACCUGUGAGCUGUCAGAGAGAGACUGAUCACCUGUCACAGCAGCUUUCCAUCAUCCUUCCUCGUACCUCUGCAAGCAGAACCGACCGAGCUGUCACGCAGAAUGGAGAACUUUUCAUGUCCCAUCAAAGAGCUGUUGUGGCGCAGUAAUGGUGACAUAUCGAGGAGAACUGAGGGACGAGGAUCAUCAAUCUCACGCAGACUCAGAGGAGGAGACCAGACCCAGUUUCAGAACAAGAAGGUGUUAUAAAACAUCCCGCUGAACCGUAAAUUUUCCACAUGGAUGGGAAAAAGUUGAUACCGUGGUGUAUGAUUACCGUCCACAUUAAAUUUACCAUAUAUACAAAACGUAGUGUAAACAAGAAGAGGUCGAAGCAUGGGAUCUGAAACACAAAAAAACAUCUGCUUGUGUAGAAGUCCAUGAGAAACUGGUCCUCCUUCUCAGCUGAUUUAUUCCCUUAGUAAACAUUUCCCUAUGACUUUAA